rnacentral:rRNA from 1 species
GCGCUAACAUGCAGUCGAACGCUUCUUUCCUCCCGAGUGCUUGCACUCAAUUGGAAAGAGGAGUGGCGGACGGGUGAGUAACACGUGGGUAACCUACCCAUCAGAGGGGGAUAACACUUGGAAACAGGUGCUAAUACCGCAUAACAGUUUAUGCCGCAAGGCAUAAGAGUGAAAGGCGCUUUCGGGUGUCGCUGAUGGAUGGACCCGCGGUGCAUUAGCUAGUUGGUGAGGUAACGGCUCACCAAGGCCACGAUGCAUAGCCGACCUGAGAGGGUGAUCGGCACACACUGGGACUGAGACACGGCCCAGACUCCUACGGGAGGCAGCAGUAGGGAAUCUUCGGCAAUGGACGAAAGUCUGACCGAGCAACGCCGCGUGAGUGAAGAAGGUUUUCGGAUCGUAAAACUCUGUUGUUAGAGAAGAACAAGAGACGUUAGUAACUGAAUCGUCCCCUGACGGUAUCUAACCAGAAAGCCACGGCUAACUACGUGCCAGCAGCCGCGGUAAUACGUAGGUGGCAAGCGUUGUCCUCGGAUUUAUUGGGCGUAAAGCGAGCCGCAGGCGGUUUCUUAAGUCUGAUGUGAAAGUCCCCCGGCUCAACCCGGGGAGGGUCAUUGGAAACUGGGAGACUUGAGUGCAGAUAGAAGAGGAGAGUGGAAUUCCAUGUGUAGCGGUGAAAUGCGUAGAUAAUAUGGAAGGAACACCAGUGGCGAAGGGCGGCUCUUCUGGUACUGUAAACUGACGCUGAGGGCUCGAAAGCGUGGGGAAGCAAACAAGGAUUAGAUACCCUGGGUAGUCCACGCCGUAAACGAUGAGUGCUAAGUGUUGGAGGGUUUCCGCCCUUCAGUGCUGCAGCAAACGCAUUAAGCACUCCGCCUGGGGAGUACGACCGCAAGGUUGAAACUCAAAGGAAUUGACGGGGGCCCGCACAAGCGGUGGAGCAUGUGGUUUAAUUCGAAGCAACGCGAAGAACCUUACCAGGUCUUGACAUCCUUUGACCACUCUAGAGAUAGAGCUUUCCCUUCGGGGACAAAGUGACAGGUGGUGCAUGGUUGUCGUCAGCUCGUGUCGUGAGAUGUUGGGUUAAGUCCCGCAACGAGCGCAACCCUUAUUGUUAGUUGCCAUCAUUUAGUUGGGCACUCUAGCGAGACUGCCGGUGACAAACCGGAGGAAGGUGGGGAUGACGUCAAAUCAUCAUGCCCCUUAUGACCUGGGCUACACACGUGCCUCAAUGGGAAGUACAACGAGUCGGUAGCCCGCGAGGUCAUGCAAAUCUUUUAAAGCUUCUCUCAGUUCGGAUUGCAGGUUGCAACUUGCCUGCAUGAAGCCGGAAUCGCUAGUAAUCGCGGAUCAGCACGCCGCGGUGAAUACGUUCCCGGGCCUUGUACACACCGCCCGUCACACCACGAGAGUUUGUAACACCCGAAGUCGGUGAGGUAACUUGGAGCCAGCCGCCUAA